rnacentral:lncRNA from 1 species
GGAAGACUCACGUUUAUCGACACCAACGGAGAGGAGGAAAACUCAGCCAGACGUCAUAGGACGAAAGGGAGACUCACGUUUAUUGACACCAACGGAGAGGAGGAAAACUUCAACCAGACGUCAUAGGACGAAAGGGAGACUCACGUUUAUCGACACCAACGGAGCAAACUUCAACCAGACGUCAUAGGACGAAAGGGAGACUCACGUUUAUCGACACCAACGGAGAGGAGGAAAACUUCAACCAGACGUCAUAGGACGAAAGGGAGACUCACGU